rnacentral:rRNA from 1 species
AUUGGACGCUGGCGGCAUGCCUUACACAUGCAAGUCGAACGGCAGCACGGGAGCAAUCCUGGUGGCGAGUGGCGAACGGGUGAGUAAUGUAUCGGAACGUACCUUUCAGUGGGGGAUAACGUAGCGAAAGUUACGCUAAUACCGCAUAUUCUGUGAGCAGGAAAGCAGGGGAUCGCAAGACCUUGCGCUGAUUGAGCGGCCGAUAUCAGAUUAGCUAGUUGGUGAGGUAAAGGCUCACCAAGGCGACGAUCUGUAGCGGGUCUGAGAGGAUGAUCCGCCACACUGGAACUGAGACACGGUCCAGACUCCUACGGGAGGCAGCAGUGGGGAAUUUUGGACAAUGGGCGCAAGCCUGAUCCAGCCAUGCCGCGUGAGUGAAGAAGGCCUC